rnacentral:rRNA from 1 species
UUAGAGUUUGAUCCUGGCUCAGGAUGAACGCUGGCGGCGUGCCUAAUACAUGCAAGUCGAACGAAUCUCUUUUAGAGAUGAGUGGCGAACGGGUGAGUAAUACAUAGGUAACCUGCCCCUGUGCGGGGGAUAACAGGAGGAAACUCCUGCUAAUACCGCAUAGCCAUGAGCACCGCAUGGAGCUCAUGCCAAAUAUCCUUUAUGGGAUAGCGCAGGGAUGGACCUAUGGCGCAUUAGCUGGUUGGCGGGGCAACGGCCCACCAAGGCAACGAUGCGUAGCCGGCCUGAGAGGGCGGACGGCCACAUUGGGACUGAGACACGGCCCAGACUCCUACGGGAGGCAGCAGUAGGGAAUUUUCGGCAAUGGGGGAAACCCUGACCGAGCAACGCCGCGUGAGCGAAGAAGGCCUUCGGGUCGUAAAGCUCUGUUGUAAAGGAAGAACGGCGCAUACAGGAAAUGGUAUGCGAGUGACGGUACUUUACCAGAAAGCCACGGCUAACUACGUGCCAGCAGCCGCGGUAAUACGUAGGUGGCGAGCGUUAUCCGGAAUCAUUGGGCGUAAAGAGGGAGCAGGCGGCCGCAAGGGUCUGUGGUGAAAGACCGAAGCUAAACUUCGGUAAGCCAUGGAAACCGGGCGGCUAGAGUGCGGAAGAGGAUCGUGGAAUUCCAUGUGUAGCGGUGAAAUGCGUAGAUAUAUGGAGGAACACCAGUGGCGAAGGCGACGGUCUGGGCCGCAACUGACGCUCAUUCCCGAAAGCGUGGGGAGCAAAUAGGAUUAGAUACCCUAGUAGUCCACGCCGUAAACGAUGGUCACUAAGUGUCGGGGGUCAAACCCCGGUGCUGCAGUCAACGCAAUAAGUGACCCGCCUGAGUAGUACGUUCGCAAGAAUG